UAGCUCAACUGGAAGAGCAUGGCAUUAACGUUGCCAAGGUUAGAGGUUCGAUUCCGACUGGGACCA